CUCUUCUCCGGUUCGGCCUCCUCCUCACCCCCUCCGAUUUCCGGCGAUUCCGGCCACCACAGGGCGUGCCACCGGUCACCAGAGGAGCGCCUCCUCGCUCUGAGCACCCCAGCAGCCUUGGUUUUCCACGAUUUGGCCGGAAAACCACGGAUCGAAGCCAAAACCACUCCGGCUGCAGUUUGGGACUUUUGCCGAUUCCCGGCGAUUCCGGCCACCUCCGGUCCCCAUUUUUCUGUCGAAGUUAUGAAGACGUGAGGAGGAUUUCCUCGAGGAGGGUUUGGAUCGACGGCAGGCUUAGCCGUACUUUAUCACAGUGUUGCUGACCGGCAUAGGAGUGGAGGCUAGUACCAUCUUUGUCAUCCAUUCUCAG
rnacentral:lncRNA from 1 species